rnacentral:rRNA from 1 species
GAUGAACGCUGGCGGCGUGCCUAAUACAUGCAAGUCGAGCGAACGGACGAGAAGCUUGCUCCUCUGAUGUUAGUGGCGGACGGGUGAGUAACACGUGGAUAACCUACCUAUAAGACUGGGAUAACUUCGGGAAACCGGAGCUAAUACCGGAUAAUAUUUUGAACCGCAUGGUUCAAAAGUGAAAGACGGUCUUGCUGUCACUUAUAGAUGGAUCCGCGCUGCAUUAGCUAGUUGGUGAGGUAACGGCUUACCAAGGCAACGAUGCAUAGCCGACCUGAGAGGGUGAUCGGCCACACUGGAACUGAGACACGGUCCAGACUCCUACGGGAGGCAGCAGUAGGGAAUCUUCCGCAAUGGGCGAAAGCCUGACGGAGCAACGCCGCGUGAGUGAUGAAGGUCUUCGGAUCGUAAAACUCUGUUAUUAGGGAAGAACAUAUGUGUAAGUAACUGUGCACAUCUUGACGGUACCUAAUCAGAAAGCCACGGCUAACUACGUG